UCACGCCCCUUGGAUGCAAGUCACUAACUAUGUAGUCAGUGGACCUAUGGUCGACCAACAGGUGCGGUCACUUGUUCCAGGAGCUGACUGUCCAGAGACAGCUACUCUAAUAAGCCAGCCUAUAUUUAACAUGCUUGGGGACUCAACCUCUGUAAGCUACACCACGUUCUGUCUGUUUGAAUACAACAACGGCACACCUCUCAGAAGACAUUUGUCCUACACAGUGGCCGAUGGUGGAUUCUAUGGUGGAAUGUUGG
rnacentral:sRNA from 1 species